UGGUUCUGGCAUCGAUGAAGAACGCAGCGAAAUGCGAUAAGUAAUGUGAAUUGCAGAAUUCAGUGAAUCAUCGAAUCUUUGAACGCACAUUGCGCCCCUUGGUAUUCCGAGGGGCAUGCCUGUUCGAGCGUCAUUUCACCACUCAAGCCUGGCUUGGUAUUGGGCGUCGCGGGUUUCCCGCGCGCCCUAAAGUCUUUCCGGCUGAGCGACCCGUCUCUAAGCGUUGUGGCAACUAUUCGCGGCGAGGUCGGGUGGCGGCGGCCGUUAAAUCUCCUCAAAGGUUGACCUCGGAUCAGGUAGGGAUACCCGCUGA
rnacentral:misc_RNA from 1 species